UACGUAGGGUGCAAGCGUUGUCCGGAAUUAUUGGGCGUAAAGAGCUCGUAGGCGGUCUGUCGCGUCUGCUGUGAAAACUCAGGGCUUAACCCUGAGCUUGCAGUGGGUACGGGCAGACUAGAGUGCGGUAGGGGAGACUGGAAUUCCUGGUGUAGCGGUGAAAUGCGCAGAUAUCAGGAGGAACACCGGUGGCGAAGGCGGGUCUCUGGGCCAUAACUGACGCUGGAGGAGCGAAAGCCGUGGGGAGCGAACAGG
rnacentral:rRNA from 1 species